CCUACGGGAGGCAGCAGUGAGGAAUAUUGGUCAAUGGACGAGAGUCUGAACCAGCCAAGUAGCGUGAAGGAUGACUGCCCUAUGGGUUGUAAACUUCUUUUAUAUGGGAAUAAAAUGUUCCACGUGUGGUCUUUUGUAUGUACCAUACGAAUAAGGAUCGGCUAACUCCGUGCCAGCAGCCGCGGUAAUACGGAGGAUCCGAGCGUUAUCCGGAUUUAUUGGGUUUAAAGGGUGCGUAGGUGGAUUGUUAAGUCAGUUGUGAAAGUUUGCGGCUUAACCGUAAAAUUGCAUUUGAAACUGGCAGUCUUGAGUACAGUAGAGGUGGGCGGAAUUCGUGGUGUAGCGGUGAAAUGCUUAGAUAUCACGAAGAACUCCGAUUGCGAAGGCAGCUCACUGGACUGCAACUGACACUGAGGCUCGAAAGUGUGGGUAUCAAACAGGAUUAGAUACCCUUGUAGUC
rnacentral:rRNA from 1 species